rnacentral:rRNA from 1 species
CUGUUUAUCAAAAACAUGGCCUUAUACUUUUAUAAGGUCUAACCUGCCCACUGAUUAUUUGAAGGGCCGUGGUAUACUGACCAUGCGAAGGUAGCAUAAUCAUUUGCCUCUUAAUUAGAGGCUAGAAUGAAGGGUUGGACGAGGGAUCUCCUGUCUCUGGUAUUAAGUUGAAAUUAAUUAUUAGGUGAAAAAGCCUAAAUUUUCUUGGAGGACGAUAAGACCCUAUGGAUCUUUAUAAAUAUAUUUUUAAAGAAUUUGGUUGUUAAAAUCUUAGAGAAAUUUUAUUACGUUGGGGCGACGCUGAGAGUAGGACUAUCUCUCAGAUUUUAUUAACACAUUUAAGUGAUUUAAGAUCCUUUAGUGAAAUUAGAUUAAGUUACCCUAGGGAUAACAGCGUUAUAUCUUUUGAGAGUUCAUAUCGACAAAGAUGAUUACGACCUCGAUGUUGGUUCAGGGAACCUUUAAGGUGCAUCAGUUUUAUAAGGAGGUCUGUUCGACCUUUAAACCCCUACAUGAUCUGAGUUCAAACCGGAAGGUUCGUUUGUUCAACGAUUAAAGUCCUACAUGAUCUGAGUUCAAACCGG